rnacentral:rRNA from 1 species
AGCACAUGCUAUCUCAUGAGAACGAACAGCCAAGGGCCUUGCCAUUAUCACUUUUGGAAGACAUCACACAUGGUUUCUCUAAGAACAAUCAAAUUGGCUGCGGUGGGUCUGCGGUGGUUUAUAAGGCUUGAGAAUGGGAUCGUUGCUGUGAAGAAGUUGUAUGAACAGCUUGAUAUUCCUGAUAAUAAUUUCAACAAAGAGAUUCGUUGUUUGAUGAAGGUGAACCACAAAAAUAUAGUACGGUUUUUGGGAUAUUGUGCUAACAUACAAGGCGAAAUGGUAGGGUACAACGGAGAUUUUGUCAUGGCAGAUGUACGUCAAAGAUUGCUCUGCUUUGAGUAUAUACAUAAAGGAAAUCUUGAUGAGUAUAUCAAAGAUGCAUCCUAUGGACUUUACUGGAUAAAGAGUUAUCAGAUAAUAAAAGGUAUUUGUGAAGGUUUACAUUACCUUCACCAAAAUCAUAUUGUUCACCUAGAUCUCAAGCCGGCAAAUAUUCUGCUGGAUGGAAAUAUGUUGCCAAAAAUUACUAACUUUGGGCUGUCAAGGUGCUUUAAUGAAAAUCAAAGUCGAGCUAUUACCAAAAAUAUGGCUGGAACCUUAGGGUAUAUGGCAACAGAGUUCCAUAGUGGAGACAUGUGCAAAAUCACAUACAAGUUGGACAUAUAUAGUCUUGGUGUCAUAAUUAUAGAGAUGCUAACCGGAAAGAAGUGGUAUCCGGCAUAUCCAGAUGUUGAUAAUGUACUUGAAAUUUGGAGGAAUAAGUUGGGGAAAUCACAACGGGACAUGCAAUUGAAGCAGAUACGAUUAUGCAUCGAGCUAGGGAUAGAGUGCAUUGAUGGUAACCAAGAGAACAGGCUAGAUACAUCACAUAUAAUCAAUAGGCUUGAUGAAAUAGAAAAUACAUGCAUCAUGACUGGUGUGAGUUGUUCAACAAUA